UACGAGAGGCCCAAACGUUAUUCGGAAUUACUGGGCUUAAAGAGUUCGUAGGCGGCUUGGAAAGUGGGGUGUGAAAGCCCUCGGCUCAACCGAGGAAUUGCGCUCCAAACUCCCAAGCUUGAGGAGGCUAGAGGUGAGCAGAACUGAUGGUGGAGCGGUGAAAUGCGUUGAUAUCAUCAGGAAUACCGGAGGCGAAGGCGGCUCACUGGGACCUUUCUGACGCUGAGGAACGAAAGCUAGGGGAGCGAACGGG
rnacentral:ncRNA from 3 species